UCGCAAGAUUAAAACUCAAAGGAACUGACGGGGGCCCGCACAAGGGGUGGAGCAUGUGGUUUAAUUCGACGCAACGCGCAGAACCUUACCAACCCUUGACAUACUUGUCGCGGAUUCCAGAGAUGGAUUCCUUCAGUUCGGCUGGACAAUGUACAGGUGCUGCAUGGCUGUCGUCAGCUCGUGUCGUGAGAUGUUCGGUUAAGUCCGGCAACGAGCGCAACCCACGUCCUUAGUUACCAGCAUUUAGUUGGGUACCCUAAGGAGACUGCCGGUGAUAAGCCGGAGGAAGGUGUGGACGACGUCAAGUCAUCAUGGCCCUUACGGGUUGGGCUACACACGUGCUACAAUGGCAUCUACAGUGAGUUAAUCUCCAAAAGAUGUCUCAGUUCGGAUUGGGGUCUGCAACUCGACCCCAUGAAGUUGGAAUCGCUAGUAAUCGCGGAACAGCAUGCCGCGGUGAAUACGUUCCCGGGCCUUGUACACACCGCCCGUCACACCAUGGGAAUUGGGUCUACCGGAAGGUGGUGCGCCAACUAUUUAUAGGGGCAGCCAACCACGGUAGGUUCAGUGACUGGGGUG
rnacentral:rRNA from 1 species